UACUCGAGCGGCGAACGGGUGAGUAACACGUGGGUGAUCUGCCCUGCACUUCGGGAUAAGCUUGGGAAACUGGGUCUAAUACCGGAUAGGAGCCAUCUUUAGUGUGGUGGUUGGAAAGUUUUUUCGGUGUAGGAUGAGCUCGCGGCCUAUCAGCUUGUUGGUGGGGUAAUGGCCUACCAAGGCGGCGACGGGUAGCCGGCCUGAGAGGGUGUACGGCCACAUUGGGACUGAGAUACGGCCCAG
rnacentral:rRNA from 1 species